rnacentral:rRNA from 1 species
UACGUAGGGGGCAAGCGUUGUCCGGAAUCAUUGGGCGUAAAGCGCGUGUAGGCGGCCAGAAAAGUCCGCUGUGAAAACUCGAAGCUCAACUUCGAGCUGUCGGUGGAAACUUUCUGGCUAGAGUCCGGAAGAGGUGAGUGGAAUUCCCAGUGUAGCGGUGAAAUGCGUAGAUAUUGGGAGGAACACCAGUGGCGAAGGCGGCUCACUGGACCGGUACUGACGCUGAUGCGCGAAAGCGUGGGGAGCAAACGGG